GACGAACGCUGGCGGCGUGCCUAAUACAUGCAAGUCGAGCGGACUGAUGGGAGCUUGCUCCCUGAUAUCAGCGGCGGACGGGUGAGUAACACGUGGGCAACCUGCCUAUAAGACUGGGAUAACUUCGGGAAACCGGAGCUAAUACCGGAUAAUCCCUUUCCUCUCAUGAGGAAAGGCUGAAAGAUGGUUUACGCUAUCACUUAUAGAUGGGCCCGCGGCGCAUUAGCUAGUUGGUGAGGUAACGGCUCACCAAGGCAACGAUGCGUAGCCGACCUGAGAGGGUGAUCGGCCACACUGGGACUGAGACACGGCCCAGACUCCUACGGGAGGCAGCAGUAGGGAAUCUUCCGCAAUGGACGAAAGUCUGACGGAGCAACGCCGCGUGAGUGAUGAAGGUUUUCGGAUCGUAAAACUCUGUUGUUAGGGAAGAACAAGUACGAGAGUAACUGCUCGUACCUUGACGGUACCUAACCAGAAAGCCACGGCUAACUACGUGCCAGCAGCCGCCGCAG
rnacentral:rRNA from 1 species